rnacentral:lncRNA from 7 species
GGAGCAGCGGCCACGAUCUAAGAAGGAGAACUUGGUUUUCUAACUGUGAUGUGGGAAUGCAGGAUGACACGAUAGAAUACAAUAUAACUGGAGAAAGGAUAAUAAAUCAAAUGAAAUGAUUGAGGGCGAAAGAGCGAUAGAGGGAGAGAGAGAGAGAGGAAGAGUGAGAGAGUUUCCGAAACCGAAAGCCGUACCUGAUGAAGGCACACGGCUUGGAAGCACACCCACUCUCUCCGGGUAGCAAGUGAAAGUGUCGUCACAAUGGAGCUUUAUGAUUCCAUGAUGAAGCUCUAUGACGUCACAAUGGGGCUCUGAGGCCUCCGAAUGAAGUGCACCAAUUCCAAACACAGUGCUCUGUGGCGUCACAAGAGGGCUCUGUGAAAUCCCCAUGGGCUCAGUGAAAUCACAAUGCGGCUCUGUGACGUCACAAUGGGGCUCUGUGACGUCACAAUGGAGUCUGUGACGUCAGAACAGGCACUGUGAUUCCAUCACGGCAACUCUGUGACGUCACGUGGGGCUCUGCGACGUCACAAUGGGUAUGUGACGUCAGAAUGGGGCACAGUGAUUCCAUCAUGGCAACUCUGUGAGGUCACAAGGGGGCUCUGUGACGUCACAGUGGGGUCUGUGACAGCAUAAUGGAGCAUGUGAGAUUUCAUAAUCGGGCCCUGUGAAAUCACAAUGGAGCUUUGUGAUUCCAUACUGGGGCUCUGUGACGUCACAAUGGCUCUGUGACGUCACAAUGGGUCCUGUGACGUCACAAUGGAGCAUUGUGAUUUCAUCAUGGGGUUCUGUGACUUCACAAUGGGGCUCUGUGACGUCACAAUGGGCUCUGUGACGUCACAAUGGGGUCCUGUGACGUCACAAUGGAGCAUUGUGAUUUCAUCGUGGGGUUCUGUGACUUCACAAUGGGGCUCUGUGACGUCACAAUGGGGUCUGUGAUGUCACAAUGGAGCAUUGUGAUUCCAUCAUGGGGCUCUGUGACGUUACAAUGGGGCUCUGUGACAUCACAAUGCCGUCUGUGACGUCACAAUGGAGCAUUGUGAUUCCAUACUGGGGCUCUGUGACGUCACAAUGCAGCUCUGUGACGUCACAAUGGGGUCUGUGACGUCACAAUGUGCUCUGUGACAUCACAGUGGGGCAUUGUGAUUUCAUAAUCGGGCCCGGUGACAUCACAAUGGAGCAUUGUGAUUCCAUCAUGGGGCUCAGUGACGUCACAAAGGGGCUCUGUGACAUCACAAUCUGCUCUGUGACAUCACAAUGGAGCGUUGUGAUUUCAUAAUCGGGCCCUGUGACAUCACAGUGGAGCAUUGUGAUUCCAUACUGGGGCUCUGUGAU